CCUACGGGAGGCAGCAGUGAGGAAUAUUGCGCAAUGGGCGAAAGCCUGACGCAGCAACGCCGCGUGGGCGAAGAAGGCCUUCGGGUUGUAAAGCCCUUUUCUGGGAGACGAGGAAGGACGGUAUCCCAGGAAUAAGCCUCGGCUAACUACGUGCCAGCAGCCGCGGUAAAACGUAGGAGGCGAGCGUUAUUCGGAUUUACUGGGCGUAAAGCGCGUGCAGGCGGUUUCGUAAGUCGGACGUUAAAUCUCCUGGUUUAACUGGGAGGCGUCGUUCGAUACUGCGAAGCGGGAGGUCGGAAGAGGGAGGUGAAAUCCCCGGUGUAGGGGUGAAAUACGUAGAUAUCGGGAGGAACACCAGUGGCGAAGGCGGCUCCCGGGCCGGCACCUGACGCUA
rnacentral:rRNA from 1 species